rnacentral:tRNA from 1 species
GCCUGGGUGGCUCAGUCAGUUAAGCAUCUGACUUCGACUCAGGUCAUGACGUCACAGUUCGUGUGUUCGAGCCCCACAUCGGGCU